UGGGGAAUAUUGCACAAUGGGCGCAAGCCUGAUGCAGCCAUGCCGCGUGUAUGAAGAAGGCCUUCGGGUUGUAAAGUACUUUCAGCGGGGAGGAAGGGAGUAAAGUUAAUACCUUUGCUCAUUGACGUUACCCGCAGAAGAAGCACCGGCUAACUCCGUGCCAGCAGCCGCGGUAAUACGGAGGGUGCAAGCGUUAAUCGGAAUUACUGGGCGUAAAGCGCACGCAGGCGGUUUGUUAAGUCAGAUGUGAAAUCCCCGGGCUCAACCUGGGAACUGCAUCUGAUACUGGCAAGCUUGAGUCUCGUAGAGGGGGGUAGAAUUCCAGGUGUAGCGGUGAAAUGCGUAGAGAUCUGGAGGAAUACCGGUGGCGAAGGCGGCCCCCUGGACGAAGACUGACGCUCAGGUGCGAAAGCGUGGGGAGCAAACAGGAUUAGAU
rnacentral:rRNA from 1 species